GAUGAACGCUGGCGGCGUGCCUAAUACAUGCAAGUCGAGCGAACGGACGAGAAGCUUGCUUCUCUGAUGUUAGCGCGGACGGGUGAGUAAACCGUGGAUAACCCACCUUUAAGGAUGGGGAAACCUCGGGAAACCGUAGCUAAUACCGGAUAAUAUUUUUGACCGCAUGGUUCAAAAGGGAAAGACGGUCUUGCCGGCACCUAUAGAUGGAUCCGCGCUGCAUUAGCUAGUUGGUAAGGUAACGGCUUACCAAGGCAACGAUGCAUAGCCGACCUGAGAGGGUGAUCGGCCACACUGGAACUGAGACACGGUCCAGACUCCUACGGGAGGCAGCAGUAGGGAAUCUUCCGCAAUGGGCGAAAGCCUGACGGAGCAACGCCGCGUGAGUGAUGAAGGUCUUCGGAUCGUAAAACUCUGUUAUUAGGGAAGAACAUAUGUGUAAGUAACUGUGCACAUCUUGACGGUACCUAAUCAGAAAGCCACGGCUAACUACGUG
rnacentral:rRNA from 1 species